AUUCUUUUGUCAUUCACAAGUGUGAUGUUUGGGUUUUCACACUUGUGUGUAAGAUGUGCCACUUUGUUAAGAUAUUGGCAUACUACCUAGCUUAUG
ensembl:snoRNA